UGGGUGCUCGUAGAAGUGGUAAUAACGACAGGAAUGAGAAUACAAUAUAUUUUGGGAAAACUAUGGUGAGAUAAACGAAGCAACUAAGCAACUAACACCAUCAUAGAACAGCGAGUUAACACUUGAACUAUGAUAUUAAUUAAGCAUUGUAAACUUUUUUGUUUUUUUUUGAGCAAGUAUUGUUGCCUGAAUUGAGACGUGAAUCUCAGGUGCUGCUGAUUGCGUAGAAUUUUGUUGGGUGGUCAAAUUUGUCUUCAUUAGAAGAAGCACUAGGACAAAAAAAAAUGAUAUAAAGAAUUUAAGCUAGAGUUAACUGCACGCAUACAACAAAUUAAUAGGAAGCAGUAUAGCAGAUGAUUUGUACCCACUUGGAGACUGGUCAAGACUCAAGAUUCAAAGAUGAUGGACAGAUCACAGCCACAGUGCACGUGUGUGCAUGAUUGCUAGAAUCACCAGUUCAGGGCUCCACUCGUGAGGCACAUCUUGCAGAAAACAAGUGUCGGUGUCGUAAUCAUCCAUGCUGAAAUCCAGGAAGCAGUUCUUCAUCAACUCUCUUCAUCACCUCGUUGGGUUUAAAAUAUGUACAGAUAAGGUGCUUCGGAUCGUCGGAUGACAUUCAACCAUCCAGAUUGAUCGAUGCAAUCUGCAUUCAGAGCCACCGACUGGAGUUACAGAUUUGCACUCGCAGAAAAAAGAAAAAAAGGGAUUGGUGAAGGGAACACCUAAGGGCCCCAUGGCUGCCCUUGCCGGAGAAAAUGCAAGCCAUUGCAAGGUCUGAAUCCAUGUUGGUGAUGGCGAUGGAGAUGUAGAUGGACCCUCACCGGCGCACAUGCGGCAUACAGAAACGCGCAUGCAUGACAAGAGCAAUCAAAUGCCCUACAAGCACAAGCUACGCACAAAUUAUGUCAACUGAAAGGACGGUGCAAAUGUCAUUUUGACCAAUCUGGUGGAGGCAAACAUCUAGCUACCGUCUGAAUUAACCUCAAGGAACGUGCGUGGAGUCCCUAUGGUAAAUCAAACAAAUUGCUGGGUCGUCAUCUCUCACCUUUCAGGUAAUCGCAAACCAAGCUCCUCCCUUUUUAUCCUCAACCAACCAAGUUCCUCUAUAACACAUACGUUGGCUAACUAUGCUUGUCUCUGCCCCUACGUUAUAUGAAGGAGAAGUACACAUCUUCUAUUUCCAGAAGGGUUUAUUAGGCCCCUGUAUUGUAAACGUUAUGGAAAAUUGCUAAUUAGCCCAGCUGCAUUCUCACCACACACCUUUUCAGAUAAAAGUUUCCAUAUGGAACUAUCUGGGAAAAAAAAAGUGUAUGUUGGGAACACAACUGCGCUAAAUAGCAACCCUGAUACACGUAUAUUAUAUUACUACAAGACACGGGCCACUGCCAAGCCCAAUAUGUAUAUACAUGAUGGACUGAAUGUCUCGUAGGCCCGUAGAAAGUCAUGAAAGCACACCAAAAGGGCCCAAGUAUGUACCCAUGCUUGAUGAGUAAGCUGACUAAUCAACUAAUAAAUAGAGAACCCCCAGUAGGUAAUGACCAAUGUAAAGCCCACAUAUACUAGAUUGAAUUGGAUCAAAAUGAU